rnacentral:lncRNA from 1 species
AGGCAAUGUCUGGCCUCAUAACCACAUUUUCAAACAGACGUUCUUAAUUGGGUUUUCUGGACAAAUAAAUAAACUACAAAGAACAACUCUUCAUCUCAUGGGAAGACUCCCUGAAAUUGGAGCCCCAAUGUCGCCGUCGAUGCAUUGAUGUUGCAGAGACUAAACACCUAGAAACCGACCAACACCUUUAGGCCUGGUGGCCCAGGGCCCAGAACAUCCACGUCGCCAGAGCCCGUUGCAGAACCAACAGCAAGACACCAAGAACCCGCAGACAGAUACCAAGUGCCAUCGAUAA